UCUGGCAGUAGUGCUCUUUUAUUUAGAGAAUAGUGUAGCAUGGGGACAGGACCCAUGGGCAGGCAGAGCUGGUGCGUGGGGACAGCACCCACGGGCAGUCAGAGCUCCUGCUGCUGCCCCGAGUUGAGGGUUAGGGCUAAUUUUAUAAGGCAUGGGUCAUCUCUCUUCUUCUUCCUGGUACAGAGAGGGAGGCACCUUUUACAGACAGAGAUUUACCUUACAAACGUAAAUGUGUCCCAACAAGGGCAAGUUCCAUUCCUCAGAGCCUCCCUUCCUGUCCCUGUGAUCAAAAGCAAUCAGCCCCAAACAAUCCCGAUGCCAAAGAGACAUAUUCUGGGGUGGCCAAUUUCAGGUCCCUACAAGGUCAUCCCCCGUUCCUUCACAAAUGUCUCUCAAAAGGGCAAGCAAAAUUCCAGUCCUCGGAGCCUGCUUCUCAUCUGCAGUUUUAAAAGUAACCAGCCUAAAAUCCUCAUCAGCUGUGAUGCUGAAAGCUAUACCAUCCGGUAUUUCUAAUACUAGCAGGGUCAUCCAUGGUGGACAGGUUUCAGUGGAGCUUCCAGAUUAGGAAGGACCUGACCACCCACUUCCAAAAAAAUUGGCCAAGAAAACCCUAUGAAUAGCUACCGAGCAUUGUCCGAUACAGGAUGGGAUGGUCAGAGUAUGGUGCAAAAAGACUCAGCAGGGUUCCACUCUGCUGUAUACAAAGUCACUAGGGAGUCAUAUCGGACUCAAGGGCGCUAACAACAAUCCAUUAAUAGGAUUUAUAACCUCAUUUAAUUAUCUUUAUAGUUAUUCGACGAAGUUUUGCAGUUUUCCCAUAAAAAUCUUAGGCUUGUGGUUUUUAAAAAACUUUGUAGUGUUUGUUGUUACUAUGAACAGCAAUUUUUUUUUUUUUUUUGCUCUUAUUUUGUAAUUUAUUAUUGAUGAUGUAUAGGAGCAGACGUUCUUAAUUCAAACCCCAUUUCCUCAACUUAUUAUGUGAUUUUGGACAAAUUUACUCAAAUUCUCUGAGCCUUUGUUUUCUCUUCCAUAAUAUGAUGACAAAACCAGGGGUGGACCACUCUGAAUCAAAACGGAGGAGGAAGUACCCAAUAAACCACAUUUCUAAGCCUGUAACACCAGGGUGUGGACGCGAUAAAAGUUUGAAAGACUCCUUCACGUUUGGUAGAGAAGCUGAGGGAGAGUCUAUGUUUCAUACAGGGGACUCCAUGUUAAAACGUAGUGAAUUCCUAUGAACAUUUAAGGCACGAUGCACAACGACAUGGAGAAUAAUAAAAUAAUAAAAUAAAUUAUUUUCUUUCGGGGAAGUUUUAGGGAGGCUCAGGAUGCGCACCGUUCUGUUAUCUAAAUCAACUCCCCCAUCUCUUCAGUUGGUACCACCUUUUCCAAUUGGUUUGCAGCCGAGCAUUCUGGGCUUUGUAGUAAUUUCCUUACUAGAGUUGUUCCAAUGGGCUCACGCAGCCGCGUGAGACUACAUUUCCCAGGAGCCUUCCGGGCCGGCUGUUUGCCUGUCCGUCGCCCUGACUUCCGGCGUCGCUGCGAUCUCUAGGGCCAAUCGGAAGGCUGGGAUUGGCCAUUUCCGGCACCCUGAUUGGUGCGUUCGACUAGAGCGCCUGGUUUCAAAUUUUCAACGGUACUGAAUGAAUCCCGCGGCUGGUGUUGCGGGCGCCCGGUUGUCAGAGCCGAGGUGAGGUGAGCCGUGGGGAGAAACCGGCGCAGCUGGGGCGCGGGGCUGCCUCUCUCUAAUUUUUGAACGGCCGGAGGUCGUCUCCAAGCCCUUGGCGGGGUUUGCGCCUCUAGGCCCGGGCUUCUCUGGCAGUUGGGACGCCGUCCUGGCGGGCGGAAUGGGAGCCGGGCUUCGGGCCGCCCUUCUCUUCGCGACAGGAUUUUCCCUGGAAGUCUUUCGGGCGCGGGUCUAGCGGGCUGUGUGGAGGUGGAGGCGGAGGCCGACCAUGGGGAAUAGCGG
ensembl:lncRNA